rnacentral:misc_RNA from 1 species
CUUCAUUUAGAGGAAGUAAAAGUCGUAACAAGGUUUCCGUAGGUGAACCUGCGGAAGGAUCAUUAACACUUUUAUCCAAUAUAAAAAAACUAAACGUGAACUUUUCCCCUCCCUAUAUCAAUUUUUUUUGAUAUAGGCUAACCUUUUUAUUUUAUUUCAAACCACUUUUAACUUUUUAUAAGUCUUUGUAAGCUAACGCCUACAAAAAGACUGACUAACUAAAAAUUUUACUUAAGAUGUCAACAUGUUGAUCUCUUAAUUAAUAUUUUUUCUUUACGAAAUAAAUAUUAGUAUAUAAGAACAACUCUUAGCAAUGGAUAUCUUGGUUCUC